UACGGAGGGUGCAAGCGUUAUCCGGAUUCACUGGGUUUAAAGGGUGCGUAGGCGGGCAGGUAAGUCCGUGGUGAAAUCUCCAAGCUUAACUUGGAAACUGCCGUGGAUACUAUUUGUCUUGAAUAUCGUGGAGGUAAGCGGAAUAUGUCAUGUAGCGGUGAAAUGCUUAGAUAUGACAUAGAACACCGAUUGCGAAGGCAGCUUGCUACACGAUCAUUGACACUGAGGCACGAAAGCGUGGGGAUCAAACAGG
rnacentral:rRNA from 1 species